rnacentral:rRNA from 1 species
GCCAAACAGCUAGCUCAACCACCUAAUAACUAAACAAUGUAUAUAAAACAAAAUAAGCCUAACACCAAAAAUUAAACCAUUCUUUUACCUUAGUAUGGGAGACAGAAAAGGUCACACCUGGAGCAAUAGAGAUAGUACCGCAAGGGAAAGCUGAAAGAGAAAUGAAAUAACUUAUAUAAGCACAAAAAAGCAAAGAUUAAAUCUUGUACCUUUCGCAUCAUGAUUUAGCCAGUAUACCCAAGCAAAGAGACCUUUAGUUUGAAACCCCGAAACCAGAUGAGCUACCCCGAGACAGCCUAUUAAGGGCCAACCCGUCUCUGUGGCAAAAGAGUGGGAAGAGCUCCGGGUAGAGGUGAUAAAUCUACCGAACCUGGUGAUAGCUGGUUGCCUAAGAAGUGAAUAGAAGUUCAGCCUCGUACUCCCCUGAUCAAAGAAUAUAGAGAAGAUGCUAAAGGGCAAUACACGAGAGUUAGUUGAAGGGGGUACAGCCCCUUUAACAAAGGACACAACCUUCCCAGGAGGAUAAAGAUCAUAAUACAUAAAACAUCCUGUUCUAGUGGGCCUAAAAGCAGCCACCUAAACAGAAAGCGUUAAAGCUCAGACAGAAGCGAGUUUAUUAUUCCGACAAAAAAUCUUACUCCCCUUAAUACUAUUAGGCCAGCCCAUGCUCACAUGGGAGAGACUAUGCUAAAAUGAGUAACAAGAAGGCCUGCCCUUCUCCAAGCACAGCUGUAAGCCAAAUCGGACCAACCAUUGGCAAUUAACGAACUCAACCCAAGAGAGCAAUGUGGAUUGCAACAAAACCAAGAAGAACCCACAUAAGUCCAUCGUUACCCCCACACUGGCGUGCUAUUAAAGGAAAGACUAAAAGAAGGGGAAGGAACUCGGCAAACACAAGCCUCGCCUGUUUACCAAAAACAUCGCCUCCUGCAACGAAACCAAGUAUAGGAGGUCCAGCCUGCCCAGUGACGAUGAGUUUAACGGCCGCGGUAUUUUGACCGUGCAAAGGUAGCGUAAUCACUUGUCUCUUAAAUGGAGACCUGUAUGAAUGGCCAAACGAGGGCUUAACUGUCUCCCCCUUCCAGUCAGUGAAAUUGAUCUAUCCGUGCAGAAGCGGG